UACGUAGGGGGCAAGCGUUGUCCGGAAUCAUUGGGCGUAAAGAGCGUGUAGGCGGCUGGGUAGGUCCGCUGUGAAAACUCGAGGCUUAACCUCGAGACGUCGGUGGAAACCAUCCAGCUAGAGUCCGGAAGAGGAGAGUGGAAUUCCUGGUGUAGCGGUGAAAUGCGCAGAUAUCAGGAGGAACACCGGUGGCGAAGGCGGGUCUCUGGGCAGUAACUGACGCUGAGGAGCGAAAGCGUGGGGAGCGAACAGG
rnacentral:rRNA from 1 species